GACGAACGCUGGCGGCGUGCUUAACACAUGCAAGUCGAGCGGUAAGGCCCUUCGGGUACGACGAGCGGCGAACGGGUGAGUAACACGUGGGUGACCUGCCCUCAGCUCUGGGAUAAGCCUGGGAAACCGGGUCUAAUACUGGAUAUGACUCCAUGACGCAUGUUGGUGGGGUGGAAAGCCUUGUGCGGCUGAGGAUGGGCCCGCGGCCUAUCAGCUUGUUGGGUGGGGUG
rnacentral:rRNA from 1 species